GUAGUGCGAUGUGGGGACGGAGAAGGUUAGCUCAGCCAACUGUUGGAUAUGUUGGUUCAAGCCUGUAGUCGUGCCUGGUAGGCAAAUCCGCCGGGCUUAGAUGAGGGGUGAUAACGAGUCUGCUUGCAGACGAAGUGAGUGAUACCCAGCUUCCAGGAAAAGCCACUAAGCUUCAGCUACACACGACCGUACCGCAAACCGACACUGGUGCGCGAGAUGAGUAUUCUAAGGCGCUUGAGAGAACUCAGGAGAAGGAACUCGGCAAAUUGAUACCGUAACUUCGGGAGAAGGUAUGCCCCAAGUAGGUGAACUCGAACAGAGGGAGCCCAACGGGGUUGCAAAAAAUCGGUGGCUGCGACUGUUUAAUAAAAACACAGCACUCUGCAAACACGAAAGUGGACGUAUAGGGUGUGACGCCUGCCCGGUGCUGGAAGAUUAAAUGAUGGGGUGCAAGCUCUUGAUUGAAGUCCCAGUAAACGGCGGCCGUAACAAUAACGGUCCUAAGGUAGCGAAAUUCCUUGUCGGGUAAGUUCCGACCUGCACGAAUGGCGUAACGAUGGCCACACUGUCUCCUCCUGAGACUCAGCGAAGUUGAAAUGUUUGUGAUGAUGCAAUCUCCCCGCGGAAAGACGGAAAGACCCCAUGAACCUUUACUGUAGCUUUGUAUUGGACUUUGAACAGAUCUGUGUAGGAUAGGUGGGAGGCUUUGAAGUGAUGUCGCUAGAUGUCAUGGAGCCAACGUUGAAAUACCACCCUGGUGUGUUUGAGGUUCUAACCUAGGUCCAUUAUCUGGAUCGGGGACAGUGCAUGGUAGGCAGUUUGACUGGGGCGGUCUCCUCCCAAAGCGUAACGGAGGAGUUCGAAGGUACGCUAGUUACGGUCGGACAUCGUGACGAUAGUGCAAUGGCAUAAGCGUGCUUAACUGCGAGACUGACAAGUCGAGCAGAUGCGAAAGCAGGACAUAGUGAUCCGGUGGUUCUGUAUGGAAGGGCCAUCGCUCAACGGAUAAAAGGUACUCUGGGGAUAACAGGCUGAUACCGCCCAAGAGUUCAUAUCGACGGCGGUGUUUGGCACCUCGAUGUCGGCUCAUCUCAUCCUGGGGCUGUAGCCGGUCCCAAGGGUAUGGCUGUUCGCCAUUUAAAGAGGUACGUGAGCUGGGUUUAAAACGUCGUGAGACAGUUUGGUCCCUAUCUUCCGUGGGCGCUGCAGAUUUGAGGAAGCCUGCUCCUAGUACGAGAGGACCGGAGUGGACACACCUCUGGUGUAUCGGUUGUCACGCCAGUGGCAUUGCCGAGUAGCUAAGUGUGGAAGAGAUAACCGCUGAAAGCAUCUAAGCGGGAAACUCGUUUCAAGAUGAGAUCUGCCGGGGCCUUGAGCCCCCUGAAGAGUCGUUCAAGACCAGGACGUUGAUAGGUCAGGUGUGGAAGC
rnacentral:rRNA from 1 species